GGGAAUGGCGCAGCUACCAUGCAGUCGAGCGGUAACAGAGAGUAGCUUGCUACUCUGCUGACGAGCGGCGGACGGGUGAGUAAUGCUUGGGAAUGUACCUUAUGGUGGGGGACAACAGUUGGAAACGACUGCUAAUACCGCAUAAUGUCUUCGGACCAAAGCGGGGGACCUUCGGGCCUCGCGCCAUAAGAUCAGCCCAAGUGGGAUUAGCUAGUUGGUGAGGUAAUGGCUCACCAAGGCGACGAUCCCUAGCUGGUUUGAGAGGAUGAUCAGCCACACUGGGACUGAGACACGGCCCAGACUCCUACGGGAGGCAGCAGUGGGGAAUAUUGCACAAUGGGCGCAAGCCUGAUGCAGCCAUGCCGCGUGUGUGAAGAAGGCCUUCGGGUUGUAAAGCACUUUCAGUAAGGAGGAAAGGUUGGAUGUUAAUAGCAUUCAGCUGUGACGUUACUUACAGAAGAAGCACCGGCUAACUCCGUGCCAGCAGCCGCGGUAAUACGGAGGGUGCGAGCGUUAAUCGGAAUUACUGGGCGUAAAGCGUACGCAGGCGGUUUGUUAAGCGAGAUGUGAAAGCCCCGGGCUCAACCUGGGAACUGCAUUUCGAACUGGCAAACUAGAGUGUGAUAGAGGGUGGUAGAAUUUCAGGUGUAGCGGUGAAAUGCGUAGAGAUCUGAAGGAAUACCGAUGGCGAAGGCAGCCACCUGGGUCAACACUGACGCUCAUGUACGAAAGCGUGGGGGAGCAAACAGGAUACCCC
rnacentral:rRNA from 1 species